rnacentral:sRNA from 1 species
AUGUGAACGUUACCAAACUGUUGCCUCGGCGGGAUCUCUGCCCCGGGUGCGUCGCAGCCCCGGACCAAGGCGCCCGCCGGAGGACCAACCAAAACUCUUAUUGUAUACCCCCUCGCGGGUUUUUUUUAUAAUCUGAGCCUUCUCGGCGCCUCUCGUAGGCGUUUCGAAAAUGAAUCAAAACUUUCAACAACGGAUCUCUUGGUUCUGGCAUCGAUGAAGAACGCAGCGAAAUGCGAUAAGUAAUGUGAAUUGCAGAAUUCAGUGAAUCAUCGAAUCUUUGAACGCACAUUGCGCCCGCCAGUAUUCUGGCGGGCAUGCCUGUCCGAGCGUCAUUUCAACCCUCGAACCCCUCCGGGGGGUCGGCGUUGGGGAUCGGCCCUGCCUUGGCGGUGGCCGUCUCCGAAAUACAGUGGCGGUCUCGCCGCAGCCUCUCCUGCGCAGUAGUUUGCACACUCGCAUCGGGAGCGCGGCGCGUCCACAGCCGUUAAACACCCAACUUCUGAAAUGUUGACCUCGGAUCAGGUAGGAAUACCCGCUGAACUUAAGCAUAUCAAUAAGCGGAGGAAAAGAAACCAACAGGGAUUGCCCCAGUAACGGCGAGUGAAGCGGCAACAGCUCAAAUUUGAAAUCUGGUCCCUAGGGCCCGAGUUGUAAUUUGUAGAGGAUGCUUUUGGUGAGGUGCCGCCCGAGUUCCCUGGAACGGGACGCCACAGAGGGUGAGAGCCCCGUCUGGCUGGCCGCCGAGCCUCUGUAAAGCUCCUUCGACGAGUCGAGUAGUUUGGGAAUGCUGCUCAAAAUGGGAGGUAUAUGUCUUCUAAAGCUAAAUAUUGGCCAGAGACCGAUAGCGCACAAGUAGAGUGAUCGAAAGAUGAAAAGCACCUUGAAAAGAGGGUUAAAUAGUACGUGAAAUUGUUGAAAGGGAAGCGCUUGUGACCAGACUUGGGCGCGGCGGAUCAUCCGGGGUUCUCUCCGGUGCACUUCGCCGCGUCUAGGCCAGCAUCAGUUCGUCGCGGGGGAAAAAGGCUUCGGGAACGUGGCUCCUCCGGGAGUGUUAUAGCCCGUUGCAUAAUACCCUGCGGUGGACUGAGGACCGCCAUCUG